UGACAAACUUCCCCAGUCGUACGUGCAAAAUGAAUUGCUUAUGCGCGAUUGCUGUUCAAGGCUUCAAGCAUCGCAUUCUAAUAGUCGGAGGAUUAAUCCGCUUUCCCUGGUGGUUGGACAGUUCUGAGAUGCCCUCUCGUUGGCAAACUGAAACGGAUAGCUGAGACAGAGAGGUUAUGGCAGACAGUACUAGGAUCGAUCUGGUUAUUAUUGAGUUGGCAGGUUGUUACAUCGAGGCGCUAAACCCUAAUUCUCC
rnacentral:lncRNA from 1 species